UUUUCUCCAUGAGCUUUACUAAAGUGAUGCCAUCCAGGGCCUCUUUUGCAGCACUGAUAUUUGGGGGAACAAACAUUGGAGCCCAUAUGAGGAUAGUUCAAAGGCCCCAGCAAACUUGUCUUUGACCCAAACCCUUGCAUUUCAGAGGUCUGGCCUGAUUUAGAGGUACAGUUCUCCUCGUAUACACUCAAAUCAUAUCUCCUUUGUGUGGAAAAAUAAGAUUUCAUGCACAAUCAAGUUUAUCUACCUCAAAUCAAUAAAAGCAUUAAAACAGAUAUAAAAGAAAUACAGUUAACCAAUUUAAAUAUUAUUGAAAGUCUUGUAGAACUACAGAUAUGCUGAAUGUGAAAUUUCCUAGUUGAAAGGUGUGUUGAAAGCGUUUCAGGCAACACUAGAAUGCUUUCAAAUGAUGCGCAGCCACUUAUGAAAACUAUUCAGGUGCUUUCCCUAAUCUGAAAGGGAGUGCUUUUUCAUAGCAUUAGUUUUAUAAUGAGCCUUUUCAGGCAAAUUUCAAAGGGUGCAUGGUUCACAUACUUUAAACUAAAUUCACUCAUAAUUUAGCAUCCGACAAAAGCUAAUGCUUAAUUGUCUCUAAAGAGGCUAUAGAAGGAAAACAUUUUCCUUAUUCACAAACAUAGAGCUAAACAGUGGGGCUCCCUCCCAUGACCACCCCUCCCUAAUUUUCAUAGGAACAAUGGCUCAGUAAAGAGCUGGCCAUGAGGAGACUGGGAACACAGAUGCCAGGGUGAUUCUGGAGGCUGAGACUCACUGGCUUUGUGCAACAUUGCCUGCUCACCCCAGCCUCAACACCCUUGGGGAUAAACACGUUGGCCUGUACAGUGGAGGGGAUUGAGAUUUUUAAUUUAUGUAACAUGGGAUAUCUAACAGUCUACUAUUGGCUGACACUUCGAGAUAAGUCACUUACAUUUGCUGAGCUCUACCCAGCUUCCUCAUUGGCAAAAUAAGGAGGCUGUGCUUAACAGAUGGUCUUAAUUAUCACAGUAGUUAAUAGCACAGACAGACACGAAAGCCAGAGGUUUAGCUUCAUAGUUCUUGCUCUGCCACUUCCUAAGUGACUUUGGACAAGUAAAUACAACUCUCCAUGCCACAACUGACUUGUUGGUAAAACAGGAUAAUAAUAGUACAAUCCUCUAAGACUAUAGUAGGUAUUAAAAUGACUUCAUGUAUGUAAAGAACUCAGAACAAUAUAUGGUUUGUAUAAAGAAGUGCCACAUAUAUCUUAACUAUUCUUCUUAUUACGUCGCUCCCAUUUUUAUAUUCUGAGUCUCUUAGAAAAGCAACAACCUAUAUUCUCACUUUUAUUUUUAUUUUCUUUUCUCUCUUUGUCUUUCAAUUAGUGGCACCCCUUGGUAAAAUCAUUGGUUGCUCUAUUUUUCCUUUUGUACUAGAACUUUUGCCAAGUUUAACACACAAGUGCCUUUUGAGAUAUGAGGUACUGGGGAGAGGGAAUUCUUUUAAACAAGUGCAUCAAGGAAGACGUCAGCUCCUUUGGAGGAUAGCAUGUCAAAAUAUAAUGAUUCAACAAAGCCUUUUUGAAAAAAAAAACCCCACAAACUUUUGAACCUGUCUAAUCCUGAGGAAACCGUAGAAAUAAGCAAACAGGAAAAAAAAAAUGUGUAAGAGAAAGAAAAAACCCUUGCACUUGUAAACCUUUACAAUCUCGAGUAAUUUUCAUAAUUGUGACACUUGGUACAAUUUGAUAGUAUCUUAUAUUGAUUCUCAGGUUUCAAGACAAUAAUCAUUACAUUAUUAUCUGCAGCCUAAGCAGUGUAGCAUAACCUCCUAAUUAGGAUAAAAAACAGAGCCAGGAGCAGCCCCAGCAAGUCACAACAAGUCAAUAUUUUUAAUAAGGAUUAAUUAAAAAAAAAUUCUACAAGGUUGUAUUAGAGGCAGUUCUGGCAUGUCUAUUGAUUAACAGUUGGCAUUACAUCUCAUAAAGGGCUCAUUAUGUAAAGCAUCAAUCUAAGUGUGAUGUUCCCUCCCCCACCCCUUAAAUACUAUUGAUUUGUUUUGAUGUGUUUUUUAAAGCACAGUUUGGGAGCUGAGAAGAUUGAGAAUGGGAUUCUGUGAUCACAUUGUCUAUCACAUUGCCAGGCACCCAGUGGAAACGGUAAAGAGGACUAAUACCUUUUGUUUCUCCCCCCCUAGUCAGCUUCUACUGACUUCUCAGGCUGGCAAAGGAAAUCUGCUUAACCACACCAUCAGCCAAAGGGAUCCAAGAUUCAAAAGGGGCACCAUCAACUCCGGGGAAGGGUGUCAGCUCAAGCUGGCAUUCUCCUGAACGAAGACAGAUUUUUUUUUUUCUCCCCGGAAUAAUUUUACGUGUGUUCAUUCUUCAGUGUCCACUAUUUCCUUUAUAUAUUUAUUUAUAUGCAAAUAAACAACGAUGCCAUUUGGAAACCACCUCCAGUGCCCUUCUAAAGACUGCAGCACUAGGAAUCUGCCGGAAGACAGCACGGCCACAGGUGCCUGCAACUCAUGAAUAUGCAGCUCUGACAUUUGAAACUCUUCAGCAGAUUUCUCAACUCCUUUCUUCAUUGACACCAAUUCACUCUCAAUCACAAGGGUUUUCAAGGAAACAACGUUGGUUGGAAGCCACUGUAAAGACUUCCUGAAGUAAUCUCAGUCCAUGCUUCUUAAAAAAUUGCAGACCGAUCCCCUUAAUGUUUUAAAUUCAGAGAAACCUCAAUUCUUAAAAAAAAAAAAAAAAAAAAAAAAAAA
rnacentral:lncRNA from 1 species